AGCCUUAAGGAUCGAAGGAAGACAUAAUCAUCAUCAAGAUAUCAAUGAGAAUAAAAUAAAACAGCAAAAAGAAUAGAAUGAUUCUAAAGGAAAAGAAGAAGGGAAAGAAAAACAAGAUAACUUCUGACAAGAACGAAAGUUGAAAAUCUCUGAUGUCUCAAGCAGGAAUCGAACAAGAAAAACAAUCUUUGUGAAAGACAAGAUUUAUUCAAAGGUUCAAGACAGGGCGAAAGAAUGAG